UAAAAUGACUCUCGGCAACGGAUAUCUCGGCUCUUGCAUCGAUGAAGAACGUAGCGAAAUGCGAUACUUGGUGUGAAUUGCAGAAUCCCGUGAACCAUCGAGUCUUUGAACGCAAGUUGCGCCCAAAGCCAUUAGGCUGAGGGCACGCCUGCCUGGGUGUCACA
rnacentral:rRNA from 1 species